UAGACCUUUCAUCAUUUUUGUUGCUCUUCUCUGGACUUUCUCCAAUAUGUCCACAUCUUUCCUGAAAUCUGGUGCCCAGAACUGGACACAGUAUUCCAGUGGAGGCCUAAUUAGCAAUGGAAUAGAGCAGAAUUCCUUCUUUUGUCUUGCUUACAACACUCCCGCUAAUACAUUCCAGAAUCAUGUUUGCUUUUUUUGCAAUCGUGUUUCCAUGUUGACUCAUAUUUAGCUUAUGAUCCACUAUAACCCCCAGAUCCCUUUCCGCAGUACUUCCUAGGCAGUCAUUUCCCAAUUUGUCUGCGUGCAGCUGAUUAUUCCUUCAUAAGUGGAGUACUUUGGUCUUUUAAUGAGAUGGAUUCUAUUUUGGCUUCUGCGUCGUCAACAGAAAUGGUAACUAAAUUUAAUUGACAGGAUCUUUAUUACUAGUUAUUCAAGAGACAGAAAGGAAACAUUGAUUUUCAGGUGUGAGGUUGAGUGUGCAGUUUUGGUGGUUAGAAAAACUGUUUUAACUUGUACACAGAACAGAUUUGCUGACCAGUAACAGUCAGUAGUCCUUGAAGGCCAUAAUGCCACCUAUACAGACAAGCGCCAUUUGCUUUUCAGAGUGUAACAAAGCUCUGUCUUUGCAACAUUUUGUGACAUGUAUACCAUGCGCUAUCAAGGCUAUGCAAUACCUUAGUUGAAAAACUAGGCUGUAACCUGCCUUUCAUUUGCAUGUGAGUCUUGUCACGUCACAAAAAGUUGCAUUCAUGUCUCAUUUUAGGUCAGCAAGUUCCUUUCAGCUAUAUUCUGUUAUACAUGAGGUUUGGAACUAAUGAAAAGGAUCAAGUUAAAAUUCACAUGUUUAUAGUACACACAUUUCCUUAGUUCUGUCAGUAAUGUUAGAGAAUUAAAUCUGAAGGGAUUUUGAAACUCAUUUCUUUUUCUUGUUUACAUUUUGACUUGACUCAGCAUUGACGAAGAAAAUAGAGUUGUCCAUUUCACUUUGUGGCCUUAAUAUUACUCAGUGUCUGUUAAAUUAAAUAUUUCAAAUGUACAAUGGUAACUUUUAUACUAACUUGGAUUGCUUAUAAAAUGAAAGUUAAUGUCCAUAGUGUAUCUGCACAAGUGAAAGCAAUACAGGUGCUGAUUUCACAAGUGCACAGUUCCUGGAUUGCAGCAGGCUAAACAGUUUGGAAAAUCUGGCCACACAUAUAGUAUCUGGAUGAGUGUAUGCCAUACAUUUCUCUAUAGACAAGACAAAGAUCUCAAAUUUACAUAAUGUUACUGAGGAUGGAAUUUGAGUAUCUCAGAAUUUUUGCUAAUUUCUGAAUUAGCUCAAAUGUGUCAAAUAACAUUUAAACAGAGAGUUCUCUGUUGAAUGUAUGCCUGAAGAUGCCCAUGUAUUUUUUUCUGUUUCAGCUAACACAUGGUUCAUGCUGCUCUUAAUGAGCCAAAUUCAGUGCUGAUGUAAACAGUGAAACAACACUUUUAUAUAAAUGGAAGAAAUUCCAUCAAAACCGCUUUGGGAUUUAGCUCAAUAAAUUCAGUGUGCAGGAGUCCUGACAUAUUACAGUAGUGACUGUCUCAGAGUAAACAUUGUGAUGUAGAUUUCCUCAGUUCUAUGCAGAAUUUUAUUACUCUCUCCCCGUGGGGAAUUUUAACCAUCUCCACUAUCCUAAAUGAAAACAAAUCUGCCUUCCACAAUGCAAAACUGCAAAAGGCUGUAAGGUUAGCUGUGUAAUAUAUGAAUGAUUUUAGUAAGCAACAUAAAAAAGACAAAAUCCCACACAAGAUCCAUUGCAUUGUAGUGCAACUUUGUUUUAAUAAUCCUCACAAUCUGUGCCCUGUUCAGUAAAUAAUUUAUCCAGAAUCAAAAGCACUGCUCUGAGAGCCAUAUCAGUAGAAGCUAUCUCAAUCUUUUUGUUGGGGUACUAGGAGGUUUCCAUCUGUUCUGUUUCUUAUCCACACUUGUGAACUUCUGGUAUACACUGCACAUGGAAAAAUAUUCUAAAGACUGCUGAAAUUACUGAUCGGUAUACAGAACAGUUGUUCUUUGGUCUGCUCUCUUAAACUGGAAAGUCAAGAUCUUAAUACAGUUUUCUUUCAUUAGCAAUUAGUUAGAAAAUCCUGUCAGUUCCUAGAGUUUGAGUUCCCAUUUUACUGUUGCUGGAAUGAAAUGAAUUUUCAGGGUGUCUAUGUGAAGAAACAUGAAAGGAGAUUGAUGUUGUUAACACUUUGUUGAAGUGCACAACUUUUUCCUUUGGGGAAUAUAAAGCAUUAUAUUGUGGCUAAGAAUGUGCAGUUUCCAUCACAGUAUUUUUAGAGGUAUUGGUCAAAGAGUUUACAAUCUAAGCAUAUGAUGGGACAACUGGUGCAUGACAGAGGAGGUGUUAUGCACAUAAGGGAAUAUGUCAUUAUUUGCAAGAACAUGGGGUGGGAUUUUCCAAAACACCUAAGGGAAUUAGGUGAGCAAUUCCCAUGGAAGAUGCAUGGAAGUUGACAGCUAACUUCUUAAAUGGCUUUUGAAAAUCACACCCAGGAUCUUUUUUUCACAUAUAGGAUGUGCUUUCCACUGUUUAAGUGGUAUGUGUUCAUGGUGUGUUCUCCCCCUCUGUGUGUCUUCAUCAUGGACCAAAUCCUGAGGACCCUGACAUGCUCAGCAUCAAGCUCUCAGCUGUUACUCAUUCAAACUCCCUUGGACUGGGUACUUGCGACCUGUGUCUGUGUAAGUACUAUACAGGCAGCCAACUUUUACACAGAUGGAAUAGAGCUGUGCACAACUUCAACUGAAAUCGGACAGUAAGCACCAUUUAAAUCUUUAGCACAAUUUGCUUCUUCCCCUGGCAAGACCCUCAGCGUAACCCCUCAGAUUUGUUUUCCUUUUUUACCCAUGCUUCAUGCAGACCUGACAUCUGCUAAUUUUUUUGCGCUGUUCAUGCCCUUCUUUAAGGGUUUCUGACAGAGAAGCAGAGACAAACUGCAAUUCUGGCCUGACGAUUGUUAACCAGAAGCUAUA